rnacentral:rRNA from 1 species
GAUGAACGCUGGCGGCGUGCCUAAUACAUGCAAGUCGAGCGAACAGACGAGGAGCUUGCUCCUUUGACGUUAGCGGCGGACGGGUGAGUAACACGUGGAUAACCUACUUAUAAUACUGGGAUAACUUCGGGAAACCGGAGCUAAUACCGGAUAAUAUAUUGAACCGCAUGGUUCAAUAGUGAAUGACGGUUUUGCUGUCUCUUAUAGAUGGUUCCGGGCGGCUUAGUCAGGUUGGUAAGGUAACGGCUUACCAAGGCAACGACGCUUAUCCGACCUGAAGGAUGGUCCGCCACACUGGAACUGGGACAACGUCCAGAGUACUUAGGGAGGCAGCAGUAGGGAAUCUUCCGCAAUGGGCGAAAGCCUGACGGAGCAACGCCGCGUGAGUGAUGAAGGUCUUCGGAUCGUAAAGCUCUGUUAUUAGGGAAGAACAGAUGUGUAAGUAACUAUGCACGUCUUGACGGUACCUAAUCAGAAAGCCACGGCUAACUACGUG